UCAGUCAUGGUAGUAUUUAUUAUCUUGUUUCUUCCAGGGAAUGCAGAACUCUUGAUGAUCUUUAUUCUUGAAAAUUUAAGAGGAAUAAUCUGUCAUUUGGCAUGAUCCCAAAGGUAGCACAAAUGGAAGGAAUGUAAGUUAAACUCUGAAUGCCAGCAUUCCUUUCUUCCCACUUUUAGCAGACUCCUAUCUUUCUCUCAGUUUUAGUUCAAAUGACACCUCUGUGAAGCCUGCCUUUUUUUAAAGGAGACAAAAAUCCUUUAUUCCUCUAUACUUUAUAGCACUUUCGUACUGCCUCAUUUGGUACAAGUAGUAUUUGUUGAUACCAUGAUUGAGGUUUUUUUAAAUGUUUGUUUAUUUUUGAGAGAGAGAGAGAGAGACACCAUGCUCGUGCACGUGCCAGCAGGGUAGGCAGAGAGAGGGAGAGAGCGUAUCCCAAGCAUUCUCAAACUCAGAAGGCUCGAACUCAUGAACUGUAAGAUCAUGACCCGAGUCCAAAUCAAGAGUUGGAUGCUUAACUGACUGAGCCACCCAGGUGCUCCUGAGCUUCUGGAAGGCAAAAAUUGUGAUGUGCCUUUUCACUUCUCCAGGGCCUUGAAUGAACCAUAGUGGAGCUUAGUAAAUAUUUUAAAAAAUAAAUGGAUGAAUGAAUACUGCAGGCUUGAUAUGUGUCUGUAAGCCAUAUAAACCAAGCAGUGUGUGCCCUCUGAUCCUGGAGUAACUGUGAGUGUUGAAUGCUUAACUACUUACUACAUGAUGUUUUGUUGGUUUUUGCUGCAUAAAUAUUCUGGAGUCUUCAGUUGGUGCCUGGGCCAUUUUAUUUCUGCUCCACUUCACCACUUAUGUUAUUUGGGAUCUGGAUAGAAUAGUUUUGUUGUAAUGUUGCAUUAGUUGAAUCAGUGAUUUUAUUAAAACAAAAAGUAUGGUUCAGUACAUUUGAUAUUUUACAAAAAUGAAAUUUUGUUGAUUGAGUUCUGUCAUCAUUUGUCUCUGUUUAAAAAUAAAAAGUUUUGGGGGCACUUGCCUGGCUCAUUUGGUAGAGCACGCAACUCGAUCUCAGGGUUGUGAGUUCAGACCUCAUGUUGGGCAUGGAGCCUACUUAAAUAAUAAUAAAUAAAAAUAAAAAUCUUAGCUUAACUCUUGACUAUCCUAUAAGUGAAUUUUAAAAAGACGAAACUUCCUUCUAAAUUAGGAAGUAAGUUUAAAGGUGGAUAUAUCUAGGAGAUCUGGUGAGGGUCUGAUUAACAAGUUCCUCUGUUUUCAGUGCUUUUCUCCUUUCCCUCUAGUAACCACCUUCUGACAGUUUGGCGCUUUAUUAGCUGUAAUACCUGAGAGUGGAAUUGGAAAUGAAGUUCACAUGCUUCACUUUUGUUACUUGUUAUGAGAUUCCUUAAAGUUUAGGUGUGAAGAAGAAUGAAAAUAGUUAUCCCUAUUAUUUCUGCCUCCCAAUUAUCACGGAUAAUGAUGACUUAUCUACGGUUGACUAAAAUUGCAUGAAAGAAAAGUAGUUAAGAAAUGUUUCUUAAGAUUUUUUUCACACCUUUCUUUCGGGAAAAGUAUUAAAAAUUUAAAAAAGACCUAAAUGGAUUCAAAUUAUUUUUUUUUAUCUAUGGUGUUUUGUUUUGUUACAUUUCAUGUUCUAUAAUGAAUAGUGGAAUUGGGCUCAGUUGUGAAUUACAGGAAAUGGCACAUAUGAUAAAGAUUGUGGUUUUACGUCUAUUCAGCAAACCAAGGUGGAAUUGAAAUGAAACUGUAAAUAUUUUAGCAAUACCAAUUGCUUCUGUCAUCAACCAGUACUAGUCCUAAUGAAAACUAGAUCUGCUGAUACAAAGUUAAUGGGGAACAGGACAGAAUAGGUCCUUAUUUACUAUUAGGCAAGCUUUAGUUUUUAGUCAGCUAGGCACAUAAUCAUUUUGUUCAUGGAGAAUACAAAUAGUAGAAUACUUUUACUCUUUAAGAGUAGAAUCAGCCACACAGUAGUGCUAUCCUUUUUUUGGUUUGUUUUCUUUGGGACAAGGAUUUAGAUUUAAUAAUAAAAUGUGUAUUGUAUAUAGUAAAUAUGCAUGGAAUAAUAAUAUAUUGAAAAGCAAAUGAAAAUAGUCAGUGUAUGUGCUCUUUCCACAAUUUACAUACCAAUCUGGGCUGGAGGUAGAAGAUAAAUGCUCUAGAUUAUUCAGCUACUAGGAGUAUACCAUAUUUUCAGAAGGUUUUUCUUGAAUAGCGGUACUUAUUAAGAUUUUACUGUUAGAAUUUGAACAUAUUUAGGUCCUUUCAGAUUAUAUAGAGAACAUUAAAUUAUGUUUAACAAGAUAGCCCAGGUAGUUUCCAUUCUUUUCCUUUUCUUGGAUGUUGAAGUCCAGAACAAUAGACUUACAAAUUUAGCCGUUAUCCGAAGGAGUUUGAAUGUUAGUUACUUGUACCUCCCAAAGCAGCUGUGAAAGACCUCUUGAGUUUGUUUGUUCAUUUUUCAGCAUGUAAGACUUGAAUGCUUAGUUUGUGCAAGGUAAUGUGCUGCUGUGAUAAAUAUAAUAAUGAAUUUCCAACUCCCCCUGUAUCAUUGAGCUUCGAGUCCAGUAGAGGAGAGAGAAUGGUGAGAAUAACUAGGGAGCCUGUAUGUUUUGUUUUAUGCCUCUCAACAUGGCAUAAUUACUAAUAGUAUCCCCUUUCACAUUCACAUGUCCUGGUUUGGGUGACAAGUUACGUGGUCAUGCUGUGAACAACUAUAUAAGUAUCAGCAUUUAAUUUAAGCAUUUAGCCGAAUUUAAGCAUUAGGCUACUUCAUAUAAAGCAUUAUGGAAAUUUAGAAGAGGGAAAUAUUGAUUUAAGGCAGGGUGGGAAAAGAAGAAAUGCCUUAAAUUUGACACUUUUUCUUAAUUCACAGUUAGGUGGCAAGGGACUGCCAGUUGGUUCUUGGAAAUUCCCUAAUGUAAAAGACCAGUAUGAGUGCCUGGUGAAACACUUAUUAUCUCUUCUUGGCCACACAUCCCAGAAAAACAAUCACUAGAGAAUACUUGAGCAAGCAGCGUUUUAUAGAAUUGUUUGGUGGGCAUCGGGAAGAUGGUAGGUCAAGGGACCACGCUGCUGGUUGGAGUCUGUCUCGCUGAAGUCUUGAAAAAGCAGUGAAGACCUAAAAUAAUAGGAUGUAUUCUGAUUAAAUAAGCCAAAAACUCUAACUUUGUUUCAUCAACUCUGGGAAGACUGUACAAAAUCUUACAGACCAGUGACACCUUCUACAGUUCUGAAAAAAAGCAUUGUAAGGUUCAGAUGAAACUUUUGUGUGCAAAUUUUAGGAGUUGGUGUGGUCUAGGAGCUUGUGAAGAUGAAGUGUUUCACGUUCUGAUUUCAUGAAAUGUUCCAUAUUUCUGUUAAUCUUAGUGUAGGAUGAUGGGAUCUGCACACUUUUUAUUUAACAGUGAUUACUGUAUGUAAUAACUAAUUCAUCUCCUUACCAUAAACAUGGGGCAGUGGUUACAGUAAAGAUAUUGAGUAGA